rnacentral:misc_RNA from 1 species
GAUGAAGAAGGCAGCGAAAUGCGAUAAGUGAUGUGAAUUGCAGAAUUCAGUGAAUCAUCGAAUCUUUGAACGCACAUUGCGCCCCCCGGCAUUCCGGGGGGCAUGCCUGUUCGAUCGUCUCCAGGACGAAUCCUCGCGCGAGUGAACGCGCGGUCGUGGCGGAGGUGGCGUGCCCGAGCAGGGCGGCCACCGCGCUGGAAUCCAUGGGCGGACGCCUGCCGCGUGGCCGAGCGUGAUAUGACGCAUUGGCGCUCGUGCGCGGCGAGGCUGCCAGCCCUGGCCCGUCUGUCGGGCGGGGUAGAUCACCACGUGGGAACUCCUCGAAUCAGGUAGGGAUACCCGCUGAACUUAAGCAUAUCAAUAAGCGGAGGA